rnacentral:rRNA from 1 species
GAUGAACGCUGGCGGCGUGCCUAAUACAUGCAGGUCGAGCGAACGGACGAGAAGCUUGCUUCUCUGAUGUUAGCGGCGGACGGGUGAGUAACACGUGGAUAACCUACCUAUAAGACUGGGAUAACUUCGGGAAACCGGAGCUAAUACCGGAUAAUAUUUUGAACCGCAUGGUUCAAAAGUGAAAGACGGUCUUGCUGUCACUUAUAGAUGGAUCCGCGCUGCAUUAGCUAGUUGGUAAGGUAACGGCUUACCAAGGCAACGAUGCAUAGCCGACCUGAGAGGGUGAUCGGCCACACUGGAACUAAGACACGGUCCAGACUCCUACGGGAGGCAGCAGUAGGGAAUCUUCCGCAAUGGGCGAAAGCCUGACGGAGCAACGCCGCGUGAGUGAUGAAGGUCUUCGGAUCGUAAAACUCUGUUAUUAGGGAAGAACAUAUGUGUAAGUAACUGUGCACAUCUUGACGGUACCUAAUCAGAAAGCCACGGCUAACUACGUG